UCAGCUUCUCAGCCUGUUUAGCUAAGAAAGAUCAAGUGUAGUAUCUAUUCUUAUCAGUUUAAUCUCUGAGAUGCUGUCUAUUUGAGGAUACAAUAGUGAGUGGAUUUUUGGUACAAGGAGAUGGAGUGUGUAGCUUGCUCUGUCUACUCCAUGCAGUCAUCUGGUGUUGGCCCCUUGAGGGUAACUAUC